rnacentral:rRNA from 1 species
UGGCGGCGUGCCUAAUACAUGCAAGUCGAGCGAGCGGAACUAACAGAUUUACCUCGGUAAUGACGUUAGGAAAGCGAGCGGCGGAUGGGUGAGUAACGCGUGGGUAACCUGCCCUUAAGUCUGGGGGAUACCAUUUGGAAACAGAUGCUAAUACCGGAUAAAAGCUACUUUCGCAUGAAAGAAGUUUAAAAGGCGGCGUAAAGCUGUCGCUAAAGGAUGGGACCUGCGAUGCAUUAGCUAGUUGGUAAAGGUAACGGGCUUACCAAGGCGAUGAUGCAUAGCCGAGUUGAGAGACUGAUCGGCCACAUUGGGACUGAGACACGGCCCAAACUCCUACGGGAGGCAGCAGUAGGGAAUCUUCCACAAUGGACGCAAGUCUGAUGGAGCAACGCCGCGUGAGUGAAGAAGGUUUUCGGAUCGUAAAGCUCUGUUGUUGGUGAAGAAGGAUAGAGGUAGUAACUGGCCUUUAUUUGACGGUAAUCAACCAGAAAGUCACGGGCUAACUACGUGCCAGCAGCCGCGGUAAAU